UACGGGGGGGGGCAAGCGUUGUUCGGAAUUACUGGGCGUAAAGGGCGCGUAGGCGGCCUGCUAAGUCACACGUGAAAUCCCUCGGCUCAACCGGGGAACUGCGUGUGAUACUGGCGGGCUUGAAUUCGGGAGAGGGAUGUGGAAUUCCCGGUGUAGCGGUGAAAUGCGCAGAUAUCGGGAGGAAUACCGAUGGCGAAGGCGGCCUUCUGGACAGUGACUGACGCUGAGACGCGAAAGCGUGGGGAGCAAACAGGG
rnacentral:rRNA from 1 species